UACGGGGGGGGCGAGCGUUGUUCGGAAUUAUUGGGCGUAAAGGGCGCGUAGGCGGUGUGGUAAGUCUGUUGUGAAACCUCCAGGCUCAACUUGGAGCUUGCAUCAGAAACUGCCGUGCUAGAGUGUGGGAGAGGAGAGUGGAAUUCCAGGUGUAGCGGUGAAAUGCGUAGAUAUCUGGAGGAAUACCGGUGGCGAAGGCGGCAUCCUGGACCGGCAUUGACGCUGAUGAGCGAAAAGCUAGGGGAGCAAACGGG
rnacentral:rRNA from 1 species